UACUAGAGUAGCACUCGCAUAUCAAUAAGCGGAGGAAAAGAAACUAACAAGGAUUCCCCUAGUAACGGCGAGUGAAGCGGGAAGAGCUCAAAUUUGAAAUCUUAAAGGGUUUCCCUUUACGAAUUGUAGUUUAAAGAAGUGUUUUCUGUUGAGGUUUUGAUAAAAGUUCUUUGGAAUAGGACAUCAUAGAGGGUGAGAAUCCCGUAUUUGACCUUUACUUUCAACUUUGUGAUACACUUUCAAAGAGUCGGAUUGUUUGGGAAUGCAGUCCAAAAUGGGUGGUAAAUUUCAUCUAAAGCUGAAUAUUGGCGAGAGACCGAUAGCGAACAAGUACCGUGAGGGAAAGAUGAAAAGAACUUUGAAAAGAGAGUUAAACAGUACGUGAAAUUGUCAAAAGGGAAGCGUUUGACACCAGUGUUGUUUUUCUGAGAAAUCAAUUAAAGAACUGUUUAUGCUAAGCUGUUUAGACUUUAUCAGCUAUCUGUUUAGUUUUAGGCUUUUCUUUAAUGCACUUUUCAGUUAACAAGUCAACAUCAAUUUCUUUUGCUGUAAAAAAGCUUGAGGAAGGUGGCUUGAGAUUCGUCUUAAGUGUUUAUAGCCUCUUGCCUAUGCAGUCGGAGAGAUUGAGGUCUGCAGCGUAGAUCCUUCGGGGCUAAAUGCAUUUGUGCUAAGUUAUAGCAUUUUAUAGACAACUUGUUGACUAUGAUUUGUCUUGUAGCUUACUCGCUUAUGUUAUUUUACCUACGCUUAGGAUGUUGAGCGCAUGUCUCUCUCU
rnacentral:rRNA from 1 species